CGGAGGACAACAUCUGCAUUACCCCUACCACAAACGAAUGGUGAUGACAGACCAGAUGCGGCAAAUGAAAAGAUUAGAUGCCAACGAAGAUGCAGGGCGGUAUUCGCCAAAAACACCGAGAGAACACAUUGAGCGAGGAAACCACCUACCUUUAGAUUCGCUACAAAGAUCUGUAUACGUCACACGAUUUUGACACGACAACCGGAAGUCUAAGUUCAAAGACUGAGGUCCUGCGGGGUAUUAUUAUCAGUCAUAGCCGUUCCUGUUGAGAGGGCAACACUUUGGACUUAAAUAUUCGUCAAGACUUGUAGAUUAAGGUUAUUCUUGUGGUUAUUCUUGUGGAAUACCAUAAUAAGUUGGGUAAGAUCACGGUCUUACCCAACUUGUCAAAGAGCCUACUCGACAAGCGAACACUAUUGACUUGAUACUUAUCAGCAAUCCAACCUUGGUUAACUCUGUGAAGGUAGUGCCUGGUAUCUCGGAUCACAACUGUCCAGUUGCUGAUAUAGACAUGUCACCCCCACGAAGAUACCAGCCAAAGAGGAAAGUUCUUUUGUACAAGAAAGCAGACUGGGAGGGCUUUGCAGUACUCAUGCAACAUGUGGCAGACUACAUAUGUAGCAAGUCAUCCAGUGCAUCAGUCCAUGACCUGUGGCAACUCUUCAAGAGUGGAAUUGAAGGGGGUAUUCAAACAUUCGUCCCCCACAAGAUGCUCAAACAGAAACAAGACUUGCCAUGGAUUACUAGCGGUACUAGCGGUAUCCGUAAACUCAUCUUUCUAAACACUCUCCCGAAACUUCUGUGGUAGUUCUCUUUCCUCACUUGCCGGUAAUAUGUUUAUUUUUUUCACUGUUUAUGAUAGUGUCAAGAUUCCUGACAGUGACAUUUCACUUGCUGUAUUUUUCAUACUGAUUUAUAUUUGUUAUUGUGUACAUAGUUGUAUUAAUCUAAUGUAUCCUAGUCUUUGUCAAUGAGACUUUACUUUUUAUUAACUUAAGUAAAAUAUUUUAAUCUUUUUUAUAAAGACCUUUUUAUAAUUCCUUGGUUGUGUGUAAUUUUUGUAAUUUUUUGUAAUUUUUGUAAUUUUUUGUAAUUUUUGUUGUUGUUCUUCCUCUUCGCUGUUGAAGAUACUGUGGGGUGUUGUUUAUUAUUGUUGUUGUGAUGGUACAUGUAUCAAUCUUGUGUGCCAUAACCUAUUCUUGUGGUUGGUACAUUUUUUAACCAUUAUUUAUAUAGCUGUAAUAUACGUGUAUAGUGGGUGGUACUUUUUCUAAUGCCUUUAUCUGAUUUCUGCAAAGAGGAUAGUACACCAUACCUUCUAGAAGAUCAAUUCAAUGAGUUUAUGAAUGAAGUUGACUCAAAGACUUCAUUAUCAUUUAUACAUUUUAACUGUCGUAGCCUAAGGAAGAAUUAUGAAAAUAUAUUUGAUUACAUAACUUCUCUGUCAGUCACAUUUGACGUGAUAGGUCUAACUGAAACUUGGAUAAAUCAGGAUGAAAAUUUUUCAUUAUUUGUUCCUCCAAAUUAUUCUUAUGUAAACUGUGGCAGAGUUGAAGGUCGUGGAGGAGGUGUAGGAAUUCUGAUACACAAUAAUUAAAAAUAUUUUCAUCGUUCUGAUCUUACUGUGGUAAACAAACAAUAUGAGAUGAUCUUUAUUGAAAUUCCAAGAGAGAGUGACAAAAAUAUUUUAAUCGGAGCUAUGUAUAGACCGCCUAAUCAAUCGGUUGGAAUGUUCAUCAAUGAUAUCUAUACAGUGUUAUCCAACCUCCAAAAA